GGGGGUAUAGCUCAGUGGUAGAGCACCCGCAUACGUAUCGGAAGGUCGGGGGGUUCGACUCCCUCUGCCUCCA
rnacentral:tRNA from 1 species